AUGAGGGACUGGGGCGCAGAAGACGCAGAUCCCGGGGUCGAGGGAGGCAAGGCAGUCAGCGGGGCCCAUUACGUGGAAGGAGCCAGUGGGACCGUGGGAGUCUGCUGGUCUCCUGUUGCACAAAGGCGCUCCAGAGUGAAAACACGCAGUGCUUCUGAACCAACAGGUCGGAUCACCUCCCAAGAGGUGCUCCACCAAGAUACCCCUGAAGGAACUUGGGAGCAGAGAACUAUUGGACAAAGAUCUUCUGGACCUAAAUUCCUUCAGAGUCUCAGAGGAAGUGAGUAUACAAAGAUACCAUAAUUACUGGAAGCAGUCUGUUUGUGAGAUUGCAGUAAAAGUGAAUGUAUCAUCUAUUGCUGCAUAACAAGCCACCCAAGACAAUGGUUUAAAAAGCUACCAGUGAUUUGCCUACAAUUUAGUGAGAUGAAAAAUUGGAAUGGGCUCAGCUAUGUGGGCUCAAAGGCUAAGCUCUGUUCCAUGUGGUAUCAGCAGGUCUUGCUCACAUAUCUGGGGCUCUGAAGGGAUGGCUUGUACACCUAGGACCUUUUCCCAGGAAGCUAGUCCGGCUUUUUCACAUGGAGGUAGACAUGUUCCCAGCAGCAAGACAGAUGGCAACCUAGUGUUCAUCCUCUAGUGUUUGCACCCUUUCAAGUUUCGAGCUUCUGUAUGUGUCAUGUUUGCUAAUGUCCCAUUGGCUAAAGCAAGUCAUGUAAGUCCAGAGUCAAUGUGGGAGGAUGUUAUGGGCAUGGGUAGAGGGAGAUGUCAAUUAUUAGGGAUCAUUAAGUGGUAGCUUUUUGUUUUGAGAGCAGGAAUGCCACUUUGCAACCUCUACUUCAGGAACUUUCUCUAAAGACUUUCAUCAGAAAAAAAAUCCAUUCAAUAGUGAUCAGUGAUAAAGAAGAAACUGGAAUAAUACAGAUACAGGCAUACUAUUUUUAAAAUUCAGAUAAUAAGCAUCAAAACUUUCUAAUAGGUGAAGGGAAAAUGUGAUGUCACAGAGACAAUUAAAAUUGUGACUGUAAAUUAUGCAAUGAAAGAAAAAAAUUAAUAGUACUUUUGCAUAGUAUUUACUGUUGUCAGGCAAUAUUCUAACUACUUUGCAAAGGCAUGAACUCAAUUGAUUCUCAGCACAACUCUGUAAGUUAGAUAUUGUGCUUAUUAUCAUCAUUAUACAGAUUUAAAAACCAAAGGCACAAGUUAAGUAACACUCAAGAUCACACAGUUAGUUAGAGGAGGAUCCAGUAUUUAAACCCAGUUAAUCUUGUUCUAGUGUCUUUGCUCUUAUUCAUAAGCAGCAUACUUCUCUAAAUGAAGUAUAUUUGUUGCUAUGUUAAGAAAUAAACAUCAUCUAUUAAGGAACACCAAAAAACACAAAUGAAGAAACUCAAGAGAGAGAUGAGGAGGACGAAAUUAGCUUAUAUUUUUAUAGAAAGAAGAAGAAAACCAAACCAUGAUAGAAAUGAAGAACAUAUUGGAAGAAACACAAAGGAGGAAUAAGUAUUGUGGAUAAGUAAGAGAUAGCAAAUGAAAUUAUCUGUGUGAAACUGAUAAUGAUAGAUGAAAUACAACACACAUAUAAUUGGAGUCUCUAAAGAAGAAAACCUUAUUAGUG
ensembl:lncRNA